rnacentral:tRNA from 2 species
GCCGGAGUGCCCGAACAAAGAAGGUUAAGGGGCCUGCCUCGAGAGCAGGUGGCUGAGACACGCCUUGCAGGUUCGAAUCCUGUCUCCGGCGCCA